rnacentral:SRP_RNA from 17 species
GACAGUACCUGGCCCCAGUACCAGCAAUCCGCACUGGUACAGGAGAAUCCGCCUUCAGGGGUGUCGACGGUCUUGAGGU